rnacentral:rRNA from 1 species
AGCGAACGCUGGCGGCAGGCUUAACACAUGCAAGUCGAGCGGGCACCUUUCGGGGUGUCCGCGGCGGACGGGUGAGUAACGCGUGGGAACGUGCCCCCUGGUUCGGAAUAACUCAGGGAAACUUGAGCUAAUACCGGAUACGCCCUUUUGGGGAAAGGCUUGCUGCCGGAGGAUCGGCCCGCGUCUGAUUAGCUAGUUGGUGAGGUAACGGCUCACCAAGGCGACGAUCAGUAGCUGGUCUGAGAGGAUGAUCAGCCACACUGGGACUGAGACACGGCCCAGACUCCUACGGGAGGCAGCAGUGGGGAAUAUUGGACAAUGGGCGCAAGCCUGAUCCAGCCAUGCCGCGUGAGUGAUGAAGGCCUUAGGGUUGUAAAGCUCUUUUAUCCGGGACGAUAAUGACGGUACCGGAGGAAUAAGCCCCGGCUAACUUCGUG